rnacentral:pre_miRNA from 1 species
AUUGCACCACAACAUGUUUCGGGCUAGGCCCUUUAUCAAGUGUAGACACUUUAUAAAGGGCCUAGCCCGAAACAUGUUGUGGUGCAAUCUU